ensembl:lncRNA
GUGACUCAACAAACGCACACUCACGCACAUUUAAAGGAGUGAAAAGAUGAUCCCACUGUCUGUCUUCCUCUAUAUUGAUAUGACAUUCCUUGGUUAUAACGCUUAAAAAUGAUAAGACUGACGGGCAUGGGAGACCUUCUCCUUGUGGACUAUCAUGAGAUCAGAAAAUAUGGGUCAUUUAAAAGUGAAAUAAGGAACAGAACUCGAUAAUAAGUAUCAUGGAUACAGGUCAUUUCAUAAGAACAUAAGCCGUGAAAUAAGUAUUUGUGAUUACAGUCCACACACUGUAUCUGGUAAUGGGUGAAACAAUUGAGAUGAUUGAACAGUAACCAACGUGUUCUUCUUUCUCCAGAGGAGCAACUGCUGCCCGAGGACCUGGCCUUCAGCGCCAGCCAGCCCACCGACAGGUGAUGGGGUCUGCCCCCCGGGCUGGGUCCAGUACCUCGCUCUGAUUGGCCAGAUGGCUGCAGAGAGCAGCAGAUGGAGGAGUACACGCGUGAAGUCUCCCGGAGAACUGAUGCGUCCACUUUGUACAAUCUUAUAGAGCAGCUCACCUGGAAUGUCUUUCAGGACGUUUAGUUUGAGUUCUCUACCGUGAGCACACAGACUCCUGGUCAACCAUGUAUUUAAUGCACUUUUUGAGUUUUUACACUGUUAAUUACUGACGGAAUAUGUGCUAUCCCUGUAUUUCUGCUCUCAAACUCAUGGGAAUGAAACUGAAAUCAAAGCUUGACCCCACAUCAAUAUUUCCACUAUAUCACCCCUUGUGUACACCAACCUUUACACCCGACUGCCGGUUUCACAAAGACGUAAAGUCGAUUUGUAGGCAGAGCUGUCCUCCUGUUUGCAGUCGUCUGGCCUGAGGUUGGGAAAAAGGUAAAUAUUGUAAAUAUUUGAAACUGACCGUCUAAUUCCGCCUUUAUCAGCAGCUCAUAGCGGCUGACUUGUUUCAGGCUAGUUCUCGUUGGGCGAGGCCCGCUUUUCUUUACACCUUGUGAACGAUGCUUCACCACUCAUUUUGUUUCGGUUUUAUUGAGUUGUUAUGCAGCGUCUCAGCAGCAGAUGUGUGGGAGAGAUUCCCAUCGCUGCCAUUUAGUCGUAUUUCACUUUCCUUGUUGGGUGGUUUUAUCAGUCCUCUCACUCCCCAUAACUAAAGUGUAUUUUCAUUUGGGACCAUUCUUAUGUAGCUCGUGUCUUAUGGUGCAUCACAAACAGCCGUGUCUUGUAGUGUAAGGAUUACUGGGUCGGAGAGGUUCUUGUUCACAAGGGACAUUGAGGUAGAUAAAAUGUCGGCAGUGCAUGCAUCUUGCAUGAAGGAAUACUCACUGGUUUACAUUUGAAAAAUCUUGAACGCUGUUAUAAUUACGUGUGUGUGUGUGUGUGUGUGUGUGUGUGUGUGUGUGUGUGUGUGUGUGUGUGUGUGUGUGUGUGUGUGUGUGUGUGUGUGUGUGUGGUGUGACCUAAUUUCCUUUAGGGAAUCUUCUGAGGCAAGUUAGAAACUGAGGAUGGCUUGUGUGAUAUAAAUGUGGGGGGUGUGAUUGUGGGUGUGAUUGUGUGGGUCUGUAUGACUUUGUAUCAUUCCUCACUCUAAAGAUCAAUCUCUUGCUAACUCAAUUCAGUCUUGUAAAUUACACAAAAACACACUUCUGUGUUAUGAGUUGUGUGUACUAUUUCUGUGCUAUAUCACAAGUUGUUCCUUCUAAUGCACAUUAUUGAUUUGUUUGUGUUUGUGUGUGGCAUCAGAUAAGUAGAAUAAAAUAUUUAAUUAGAUUUUUUUGGCUCUGUGUUUCAUGCCUAUAUUAUUGGUGACCUCAAGCAGGGACUGCUUAUUGAGUAACUGUGACCCCAUUCUGUGGUAUCUACAGCUCACUUGUGUGUGUGUGGCAACAUAAUCCUAAUAAGUAGGUCUCGUAUUAUGCAGCAGGAUUUCUUUCACACUGUCUUUCAGAUGUUGAUGAAGCAAAUCAAUUU